ACAAUGCUAACAGUUUUCAGUUUUAUUUUUUCCACUUGUUAAAUUGAAAAAUAACAAAGCAGCUUGGCAAGAGGGAAAUUAAAUUCUUCUGAGUACAGAGAAGAUAAAGUUAGAGGAAACAAAGAGAAAAAAAGUGAGAAAAAUCAUUAAAACUUCCUGUGAAGGUUUAUUCCACUGAAUCCUUCAGCCAACAAGCCAAAAAUCUUCUCUUUUGGCAACUUCCCAUGAAGAAGUCCACUAGAUGUAAAAGCUGGAAAUCCCAGUGUGCAUCUCUCAGUUUCCCUUCUACCUGCUCCAAGUUCUAUGUUUUUUCAUACAGGAUUGAUGUCAGUUGUCUCCAAUCAAUGUGCAGCAAACAUGGCUGAGAAGGAAUCUUUGUCCUACUUUUAGUUAGAGAACCUCUGCUUGUCUCUUUCACUCUCAAGGCAGGAAUAUCCAUCUGACCUUCAGCUGCACUUGCGGAGAGCAAGAGAGCCAUAGGUAACCAGUGUUUGGAAUAACAGAGGUAAAGAAAUUCAACAGAUAUGAUUUGAGGACUGAGAGAAUGACACAGCAGAGACUGACAUGGGACCGAGGAGAAAGGACUCAAAGCUACCUUCUUGGACUUUGUGAGGAGAAAGGACUUCAGGAAACAGUUGAAGUUAAAAAUUGCAGCAAACCUGGGUAGUUCUCCACUCCCAGGACCAUUCCAACUGGUCUCUGCUUUGAUGAGACAAUGGACUGACUGUGAACUGGACC